AACGAACGCUGGCGGCGGGCUUAACACAUGCAAGUCGAACGCCCCGCAAGGGGAGUGGCAGACGGGUGAGUAACGCGUGGGAAUCUACCCAGUUCUACGGAACAACUGAGGGAAACUUCAGCUAAUACCGUAUACGCCCUACGGGGGAAAGAUUCAUCGGAAUUGGAUGAGCCCGCGUUGGAUUAGCUAGUUGGUGAGGUAACGGCUCACCAAGGCGACGAUCCAUAGCUGGUCUGAGAGGAUGAUCAGCCACACUGGGACUGAGACACGGCCCAGACUCCUACGGGAGGCAGCAGUGGGGAAUAUUGGACAAUGGGCGCAAGCCUGAUCCAGCCAUGCCGCGUGAGUGAUGAAGGCCUUAGGGUUGUAAAGCUCUUUCAGUGGGGACGAUAAUGACGGUACCCACAGAAGAAGCCCCGGCUAACUUCGUGCCAGCAGCCGCGGUAAGAC
rnacentral:rRNA from 1 species